UGCGAUGCCUGUCAUUCUGGGUGAAGGAUGAAGAGAAGAUUGUAACUUAUGAAGGUAUUACAACUCUGCUGGGUUUUAAUCAUCAGGUCCUAGAAUUAGGUUCAUUUUAAACAAAACAAAUCAAGGAAUUUUGGGAGAAGAUAGGAAAAAAAAGAUAACCUGCUGAGGAAGAACAUAUGCAACCCUGUCAUCUAAAUAUCCCAC
rnacentral:lncRNA from 1 species